GACAGAGGGGGCAAGCGUUGCUCGGAAUCACUGGGCGUAAAGGGCGCGUAGGCGGGAUGGCAAGUCGGUCGUGAAAUCCUUCGGCCCAACCGAAGAACGUCGGCCGAUACUGCCAUUCUUGAGGGAUGCAGAGGAGACUGGAAUUCCCGGUGUAGCGGUGAAAUGCGUAGAUAUCGGGAGGAAUACCAGUGGCGAAGGCGGCCUUCUGGACGGAUACUGACGCUGAGGCGCGAAAGCCAGGGGAGCAAACGGG
rnacentral:rRNA from 1 species